rnacentral:rRNA from 1 species
CGCUGGCGGCGUGCCUAACACAUGCAAGUCAACUUGACUGGAGGAGCAAUCUGACAGUAGAGUGGCGCAAGGGUGCGUAACGCGUAAGUAACUUGCCCCAAGGUAAGGAAUAACGUCGAGAAAUCGGCGCUAAUACCUCAUAAUGCAGCGGAUCCGCAUGGAUAUGUUGUUAAAGGUUUACCGCCUUGGGAUAGGCUUGCGUCUGAUUAGUUAGUUGGUGUGGUAACGGCACACCAAGGCUACGAUCAGUAACUGGUCUGAGAGGAUGAUCAGUCACACUGGAACUGAGACACGGUCCAGACUCCUACGGGAGGCAGCAGUGAGGAAUAUUGGGCAAUGCUCGAAAGAGUGACCCAGCAACGCCGCGUGGAGGAUGAAGGUAUUCUAUAUCGUAAACUCCUGUGAGAGCAGACGAAAGACAGAUUAUUAAUCUGGAUGACUGUAUGCUCAGAGGAAGCCCCGGCUAACUACGUG